CGGGUACCCCGAUGACCCACACCCGGGUUUGACAUGCCCGAGAACCCUGAUGAAAGUCGGGGGUGCCCCGUAAGGGGAACCUUGGACACAGGUGCUGCAUGGCUGUCGUCAGCUCGUGCCUGAGGUGCUGGGUUAAGUCCCGCAAACGAGCGCAACCCUCAUCCUUAGUUGCCAUCAUUAAGUUGGGCACCCUAAGGAAACUGCCGCAGUUAAUGCCGGAGGAAGGUGGGGAUGACGUCAAGUCCUCAUGGCCCUUAUAUCCAGGGCUACACACGUGCUACAAUGAGCGGCACAAAGGGUCGCAAACCCGCGAGGGGGAGCUAAUCCCAGAAAUCCGCUCCUAGUUCGGAUUGGAGUCUGCAACUCGACUCCAUGAAGCUGGAAUCGCUAGUAAUCGCGGAUCAGCAUGCCGCGGUGAAUACGUUCCCGGGCCUUGUACACACCG
rnacentral:rRNA from 1 species